rnacentral:rRNA from 1 species
ACGCUCGACACCUACGGAGGCAGCAGUGGGGAAUAUUGCACAAUGGGGGAAACCCUGAUGCAGCGACGCCGCGUGAGUGAAGAAGUAUUUCGGUAUGUAAAGCUCUAUCAGCAGGGAAGAAAAUGACGGUACCUGACUAAGAAGCCCCGGCUAACUACGUGCCAGCAGCCGUGGUAAUCUGAGCGGGCUGGCAAGGC